rnacentral:lncRNA from 1 species
AAAAUGAUGACCUCAUCAUGUUUGUGGACUUUGAAGGUGCAUCUCUGGACAUGCUUUCUUCUAAAUGGGAGCGCUGUCAGGCCAUGCAGGUGCAUGGCAGCGUCCUGGGCAUGGUGAUCAGAGGCACGGCUGGUGUGAUCUUCUUGACCUUCUCCAUCAUCGCCAUCCUUUCCCAAAGGCCAAGGAAGUGACCUGCCUGUUGGCAUUGGCCAGACCACAGCAGCACCUCCUCCAUGCAGGCCUUACCUUCCAAUGGUCAGUGCAGUUUGGGGCAGCUUUUUAAUCAGCCUUGCUUUGGAUAGGACCUCCAAGGUCUAAGGCCUCCAGCCCCAUGUGUGACCCUUGUCAUCUUUCUGCCCCACAUAAUUCUGUUACUCUGCUAUGUGCUCCUAAUGUAUCUAGUGUGUCCUGUGACAACAUUCAUCAUACUUCAUUAUAAACCACUUGUUUGAUUGACUGUCUUUCCUAUAGACUGUAAGCCCCAUGAGGGCAGGCACAUGUUGUUAUUGACCAUGCUGGCCACAUGCCUAGAUGCAUGGCUGGCACAUUGUGGGCA